GCCCUGAUCGCAUAGCGGUAUUGCACCGGGUUGCUAACUCGGGCCCUUCGGGGCGGGCAGGUUCGACUCCUGCUCAGGGCG
rnacentral:tRNA from 1 species